rnacentral:rRNA from 1 species
AUGGCCAGCGGCGGCGUCUUCCUGCUCCUACUCCUCCUCGUCGCCGGUGUCGUCGCCGUCUUUUUUCGGAUGAGGCGACGGCGAGGGGACGGGAGCAGCAGCGCGCCGAGCCCGCCGUCGCUCCCGCUGCUCGGCCACCUGCACCUGCUCAAGAAGCCGCUGCACCGCUCGCUGGCCGCGCUCGCCGGGGCGGCGCCGCUCCUGUCGCUGCGGCUGGGCGCGCGCCGGGCGCUGGUCGUGUCCACAUACGCGGCAGCCGAGGAGUGCUUCACGGCGCACGACGCCGCGCUGGCGGGCCGGCCGCGGAUGCUCGCCGCGGAGCACCUAGGGUACGGGCGCACCACCGUCGUCUGGGCCUCCCACGGGGGCCACUGGCGCGGCCUGCGCCGGUUCCUCGCCGUCGAGCUCUUCUCGACCUCCCGCCUCGCCGCGCUCGCCGGUGACCGCCGCGCCGAGGUCGCGUCACUCGUCCAGAACCUGCUCCACGACGCCAGCGCUGGGGCUGGGAUUGUUACCCUCCGGCCCAGGCUCUUCGAGCUGGUGCUUAACGUGAUGCUGCGCGCGCUCACCGCGCGCCGGCUUGCCGGCGACGUGCGUAAGAUCCAAGAGAUUGUCGAGGAGACGUUUGCGGUGAGCGGCACGCCCAGCAUCGGGGACUUCUUCCCGGCGCUUCGCUGGGUCGACCGUCUCCGUGGCGUCGAGGCGGCGCUUGUAAGCCUGCAGACAAGGCGUGACGCGUUCGUCGGUGCCCUCAUCGAUGACCAUCGGCGAACGAGCAAUGCCGGUGGCCGAGACGUGGAGAAGAAGGGCGUAAUCGACGUACUCAUGGAGCACCAAGCAGCCGAUCCUGUGUAUUACACUGACACCGUCGUCAAAGGCAUCGUCUUGGUACUGCUCACCGCCGGCACCGACACAUCGGCGCUGACCACGGAGUGGGCGCUGGCGCUGCUUGUGAAGCACCCAGAGGUGAUGCGGAAGGCGAGGGCUGAGAUAGACGCCAAAGUCGGCAUCGGCCGACUGGUUGAGGAGUCGGACAUCACCAACCUACCUUACCUGCAGUGCGUUGUCAAGGAGACUCUUCGGCUGUGCCCCGUCGGCCCAAUCAUUCCUGCGCACGAGGCCAUGGAGGACUGCAAGGUGGGUGGCUUUCAUAUCCAGCGCGGCACGAUGAUCCUCGUGAACGCAUGGGCGAUCCACCGGGACGUCAAAAUCUGGGAUGCGCCAGAGGAGUUCAGGCCGGAGCGGUUCUUGGACAGAGACACGGUCACCACGCCCAUGCUGCCGUUCGGGCUUGGCCGGAGGCGAUGCCCCGGGGAGGCGCUGGCGAUGCGCCUUGUCAGCUUGACUGUGGCAGCACUCGUGCAGUGCUUUGAAUGGGAUGUUGGUGAAGGCGACACCAUCGACAUGGCCGAAGGUGGCGGGCUGACAAUGCCAAUGGCGACGCCGUUGGCGACUGCCUGCCGGCCCCGGGAGUUUGUCAAGAGCGUGCUCUCUGCUUCCACUUGA